AGAGACCGCAGUUACACCGAGUUACUGGCGGAAGUAUCCGUCCAGGUCUGCAGCAACGUCAAUUCUUACCUCCUAAGAAGGAAGAAUUCGACUGAGGCGCACAAAGCAGAAAGGGCGACUGAGUCAAGUUCCAGAGCAGGAAUGAAAGUUUAUUUUAAAAUGCCUUAGAACAGGAACGAAAUGAAGGUGUGCAUGGAAAAGACCCACGCAGGCACAUGAAGGUUAAAGAGAGAAGAGAUGGAUCUCAAAAAAGAAAUCAAAACUGGCUCAGAUUUCCCAAGGAUUUCCAUAUCUAUGUACUAGAAGAUAAUUCAGACUUAUGCAUCUGAGAAGGGUCUCUUUCCUGCCACCUGUGAGGAAGGCGACUUGCUUCCCCUUCACUUUCCACCACAAUUGUAAGUUUCCUGAGACCUCCCAGGCCAUGCUGAACUGUGAGUCAGUUAAACCUCUUUCCUUUAUAAAUUACCUAGUCUGAGGCAGUUCUUUAUAGCAGUAUGAAAAUGGACUAAUACAAGAGUGAAAUGGGAACCCACUCCCUGCCCUACAGGUGGGAGCCUGAACUGGUGUGGCCAAUUUCAAGGGCAAAUCUUGGUAAUACUAAGUGAAAUUGCAUGUGUGUAUGGCCAUGGAUGUAGGAAUCCUACUCUUGGGUAUCUACUCCAGAGAAAGCCACGCACAAGUCUAUCAAGAGACAUGCAUGACAUAUUUAUUCAUAAGAUACGUGUGGUAGUAAGGAAGUAGAUUAAUCUAAAUGUCUAUUACCAAAAGGUUGGGUAAAUUAAAAAGAAGAGGGUGAUCAAUACAAAGCAGAAUUAUAGUCAGAAGACAAAAACUAGAUGCACUUGGAGGAAUAAGGUUAAAUGUUAAAAACACAGUAUUUAUUGAAUAAAUUAAGAAAUAAAUAACAUGUAUAAUUUUAUUUGUGAAAAUUAAAAAUGUAUAUUUAUAUAAAACAACAAAAUAUGUGUUAAGCUUGACUGUAUAUCUAAGAAACAUCAAAUAUGCUAGUCUGGAUGUUUUGAGGAACAAAGGGGAAAAGGGGAGGGAGAGAAAAUAAAUAGAAGAUAAAAUACAAAGUAAAAUAAAACAAGUAUGAGGCCUUGAAAGAAUCGGGAUAAUUACCAUGAAACAGAGUAAGAUUGACUCAAUUGUAUGCUUCAUCUAAGGUUGAAAACAAAAACAAAAACACAAACAACAAGACAGUUGAAUAUAAAAUUAUGCAGGUAGUAUAUAAAGACGAAAAAUAAAAAGUUCAGACUAAAAACUAGAAAGAGACAUAUAGAUCAUAUUUGUGUGUGUGUGUAUAUGUGAGUGUGUGUAUAUGUGAGUGUGUACAUGCACACUCACACAUACAUUUCCAGUUGGUGGUAUAUAGGUGUUUUAUACUGUUUUUAGAACUUUAUUUAUUUUGUGUAUUACCACACUGAAGCUCUUUUCUUACAAUCAGAGACAAGGAAAAAAGGAAAGAAAAAGUGCCUAAAGGCAUCUAUAUUUCAUUUUGACAUUUUCCUUUUUAAUGUCAUAACAUAUAAAAAUGUAAAGUGAAUUAAAAAGAUAUCAAGCAAAGAAAAAAGCUGAUGAAAUUAUUAAACCAAAUAGUCAAGAAAAGGCAAAGGCCUAACUUGUUUACAUGCAUACCUCCUGAUUAUAAGACCAAUACACAGGCAAGCUUGACUGCCUCUUAAAGCUAGUUUUUGCUGCAUUGUUAACUGCUUCUCUAGCACAUAUCAAAUUCAACAUUUUACCCAAGCUCAUUAGUUGAAAGACUAAAUAUGGAGCCUUUGGUUCUCUCCUAAAAGGGCCUCAUUACUAUGACUAAAGUUUAAAAAGAGUAUCAUUACUAAGCCUGCAAAAAUGGUCAUGCCAAUAAUGAGAUGGAAAAAUCCAGACAUGUGGUGCUUUCUAAAGAAAUAAUAAUUUUUUUAAAAGGGUAAUUCCCUGAUGUCAAGGCUUGGCCAUUUUUAACCUCCACAAGCUAUUUAAAAGAUCAGACUUUUGAUCCUAAAUCAAGAAAUCCAGUUUAGACCCUUGCAAUUUUGCUGCCUUGGGUCACUAAAACAUAGGCUGUAGCUAUCCUGGAAUUCCAAGAAAUUCACAAGUAUAGAGCACUUGGUCCUAAGAGAUGUUGGCAGACCUUUGUAAAAUAAGGAUGAAAGCAACUUCAUCCCAAUACUUCUUAUGGUACCCUUUGGUAGAGACAAAGUCUACCAGGACUGUUCUGGGCUGAAAACUCUAAAAAUUAUUUCAAACUGAUGGUAUUUCCUUUUUCUUAAUAAUACACGUAUCACAUUUUUUCUCAUCUUUCUGUAACAAUUUUUCUCCUCUUUCCCCUCCUUCCUCUCCUCCUCCUCUUUUUUCACCUUUUGCUUCUUCCUUCUCUUCAUCUCCCUCAUCCUUCUCCUCCUUUUCCUGCUCCUCCUCCCUUUUCUUCAUCUUCUUUUUAUGUCUUCUUACUUGUUUUUAUUACUUUCUUCUUCAUCAGAAAACUAGCUUCUAACUGACUCAAAUAUGUUUCAGGAAGUAGUGCUGGUUUUCAACAAAAGAGUUAUUAUGAUGUCACCAUUUUCAUUAUUUUAACAGACAUAUAUUGAAUAUCAACUAUGGCCAAUAACUAGGCAUACCAUUUUCAUAGACAUAGCUACAUCCUCAGAUGCAUUCUGUCCCCAAGAUCCUAAUUUUAUAAAUGGAAAAACCAAUGUGCAUUGUGUAUUUCACGUGGGGUAGAUUGUAUGUUAAAUUCUUUAUUUAAAUCAUUUUAUAAAAUAUUAAGAACACGCUACGUAUUAUAUCUAGUUAGACCAUGAUACAGAUGAAAGAAUUGCACUUCAAUAGUAUACUACAUUUCACAGUUCACAGAGUUAGAAAAAGAUAUAUGUAUAUCAACUGAAUCCAGAUUUGUCUCAUGCCAAAACAAGUACUCUUUCUACUAGUAAUUGCAUUGCCCCCAAGAGAUUGAAGGGAGAUAAAUAAAGUGGCAGAACUAGGUUUAAGACCAACUUAUAUCAAGUAUAAUUGACUUUCUACUUUAGUGCAUUGAUACUUCUCUAUAAUCUUAUUUCAGCUUAACAUGGAAUCAUACAUUAUUUUUGACUUCCAGACUUUGAAAUUUGUUCUAUUUGUUUCUUCAGCUGGGCAAUGUAGGAAGGCAUGUUAUAGUAGAUAAAUACCUUCCAAGAAUAUACACUUUGUAAAAAAAAUAUUGUCAACAUUAGUAUGAACUCAUUAUAAAAUGAUGGCUGGCAAUUUUUGUCCCAGUGGCAUAUGGAGGAAAUUCAGUUCAAUUCAAGAAACAUUUAUUGGUUGGGUGCAGUGGUUCACACCUGUAAUUCAAGCAGUUUGGGAAGCCAAGGCAGAAAGAUUGCUUGAGCCCAGGAUUUCAAGAUCAGCCUGGGUAACUUGCCCAGACCCUGUGAGCUGUGUUAAUGUCACUGCACUCCAGCCUGGGUUACAGAGAGAGACCCUGUCUUAAAAAAGAUUAUGGAGCAUCUGUUAUGUGAAAGGCACCAUGAGUCUUUCAGGAUAC